ACAUAGUACAGGGGGCCUGAAAAAUGGCUCCUCUGUUUUUAAGCCACCCCACAGGAGUCUGGUGUUAUUAUAACAAGGCGCACAAAAUUUGCAGCUUCCCUAUGAACAAAUUCCCUACAUGU
ensembl:snoRNA